rnacentral:lncRNA from 1 species
AAAAAAACAAAAAAAUCCCUGGGCCAACAGGACCAGGAUGAGGGCAGAUGGCCACAUUCCUAUACAGAUGCUCAGCUUCACAAGGAGAGCCACUGUCAGCUCCUCAGCACCCCUGACUCAUCAGCUUGGUGUCCUGUGUGCCUGUGGAGGGGGAGCCCUCUGGGCCAGCGAUUGGCUGGGGACAGCUAGCGUACCCGUGGGAAAAUUUUCUCAACUGCUCCAAAAGCAGCUUCCGGGAAGAUAAGGAAAACAUCAUCUCUGCCCACAAGGAGUGGGGCAGAUUGGAAUGCAGACCGGAAGUCAGCUGCGCUCAGGUCAGCUCUCCUGCUCUGGGGCUUUAACCAAAGCAACGCGGAGUUCUUCUCUCGGGAUGGAAAACAAAUUCCUUGGAAUACCGGUGAGGACGCGCUCAGCCCCUGGUUAUACUCGACCUGCCCCGGCUGUUCUCACGCUAAUCUAUUUUUACUCAGACUUGUUUUUACUACUUUAAAACUAAGCAAGGUGCGUGGGGAGGAGAUGGCUCAGCAGUUAAGCGCACGAGCUGUUCCUCCAGAGGACCUGGGUUUGGUUUUUCAGCACUCAGCCAGGACACAAAUGUCUGUAAUUCCAAUUCCAGGGGAUCCAAUCUUCUUUUGUGGCUUCUGUGGACAGCAGGCAUGCGAAUAGGGCACAGACAAAAUACUCAUACACACACAAAAAUAAAAUAAAUAAUCGGGUUCAUU